ACGCCAGCCAGCACAGCCACAUGCUCCCCCUCCCCUACCUAAAACCCCAAAUAAAAACCCCUCCCUUUUUCCCUUCAAGGAGGUGGAUCUGAGUUCUAGCUCCCAUCUCCUCGUCUGACUGCCUUUUGAUAAUAAACCUCUUUCCUUGCCACAAGCCUGACGUUUCAGUUAACUGACCUUCCUGUGCAUUGGGUAGCAAGCCUGUGUUUGUGUUCGAUAACACCCAGGUGGGUCUGAUUCCAGAUCCAGCCUGUGGAAGGACUGACUGCCUGGCUCACGUGGAUACCCUUCCCGCCCCAAAGAAUCUCAUUCAGCCUUUUUACCUAUGGCAGCCACUACAAGAAAAAUCACAUUCCAUCAAACUUUUUGACAGUUGCCCAUGCCCAGGAAGGACUGGACUGUCACCCAUGGGAGUGAGCUCCCCAUCUUUGGAGGUAUGCAAAAGAAAUCAAGACAGAAUCGGAAAGGUCUGAUGCAGAUCAGCCUGCCCACUCUUCAGUAUUUGGGUUGUUCAAGCCCAACUUCCUCCCUGGUCAGUGUGUAACAGUCUCUGGCCACAUGCUGUCUAAUGUUCUGGCUCUCCACUUCCUCUUUUUCUUUUGGGCCUGGCAUCCUUCCUCUAUCCUGGUCCCUUCCCCUUGGCGGCCUUCCCUGUGUCCUGGCUGCCUGUGGUUUCUUGUAUUACUGCUCUGAGCAAUAAUGACAGUGGGAGCAUCUGUGUCAGACUGUCUCCCCCGCCUCAGGAUGGGAGCUUGUUGAAGGCCAGACCCGGCAGAGGCCUCUCCGGGGCCUGGCCUUUGCAGGACAAGGCUGGGCAUCCAGGAAGUGCAUGAUAAAGACUCGUAGAAUGGAGGUGAAAAGCCCAUUCAUCCGCCAUUCUUUCAUUCAUUUAUUCCUUCAUGUAUAUUUAUUGACUGGGUCAGGACUCGAACCCAGGACCCUUCUGAAUGAAGUCCAUGAUCUUCCUCUGCCCAAAGCUGUGAGUUAUGAUUGUCGGUAUUAAUUGUAGCUGGCCAUAAAGGGCCCUGGGGUUUCAUGAUGUGUCUCCACCAGGGGGUCUGACUGGGGGCAGGGUCCCUCCUUAGGCCUCUGGGGGCUGAUGUUCUGAGUGUUCUGAAGCCCUGAGGUUUUCCUGUCCCAUAGCGUGCCCCAGCUGGGGCCCCUGGGCUGAGGAGUGUGGGGAGCAUCUCCUCAGAGAUGAAGAAGAAUCUGGGGAGCAUUUCUGAAAUCCCAGGCGUUGGAUUCAGGUCACCAUCCUCCUGCCUUCGUCCACCCCCAGCUCCAUGCCUGUUUCAAGGUCGCCAGUCCCCAGAGGGGUCAGACCAUGGCGUUUGUGGGGAAAAUGGAACCCUCGGCCCUCAGGACUGCCAGAUGCUCUCAUCUUCUUCACCUGACAAUUCUUUUCUCUUUUUAGCAUUUUUGUUGAGAUUAACAUAGGCAUGGUCAAGUUCACAAACGUCACAAGUAGAGGCUGAUGAGGGUGAUGACCUUCCAGUCUGGAUCUAGCACAUUCCCAGCCUCUGGCAGUUGUUGGACACUCCAGGUGAUUCUCCUGUCCCCCAAGGCGACCACUGCCCUGACCUCUGUUGCUGUAGGCAAUAAACCAAGAUUGCCCUGAUCGAUUUCUAUUUGUCGCCGCCGGCAUGAGGGUCACAACCAGGUCCAAGAGGAGGUCCAGCCUCAGAGCAGUUGCCCUCGCCAUGACCUCUGCCAGGAAUGCCCUU
rnacentral:lncRNA from 1 species